rnacentral:rRNA from 1 species
AUUGAACGCUGGCGGAAUGCUUUACACAUGCAAGUCGAACGGCAGCACGGGGCAACCUGGUGGCGGGUGGCGAACGGGUGAGUAAUACAUCGGAACGUGCCCAAUCGUGGGGGAUAACGUAGCGAAAGUUACGCUAAUACCGCAUACGAUCUACGGAUGAUAGCGGGGGAUCGCAAGACCUCGCGCGAAUGGAGCGGCCGAUGUCAGAUUAGGUAGUUGGUGGGGUAAAGGCUCACCAAGCCGACGAUCUGUAGCUGGUCUGAGAGGACGACCAGCCACACUGGGACUGAGACACGGCCCAGACUCCUACGGGAGGCAGCAGUGGGGAAUUUUGGACAAUGGGCGCAAGCCUGAUCCAGCCAUUCCGCGUGCAGGAUGAAGGCCUUCGGUUGUAAACUGCUUUGUACGGUAACGAAACGGUUACUCUCUAUACAGGGGCUAAUGACGGUACCGUAAGAAUAAGACACCGG